AGCCAGGUGUCUUAUACUUGGUUACUUCUGCUCAAUGGUUCACUAAAUAGCCGCAGUACCCUGACUGUGCAAAGGUAGCAUAAUCAUUUGGCUUAUAAUUGAAGUCUGGCAUGAAAGAAAUUAUGGGUAGUAACUGUCUUCUAUAGACCACUAGAAUUUACUUAGUAGGUGAAAAUUCCUACGGACUUAUAAUAGACGAGAAGACCCUAGAAAUUUUAUGUAAAAGUAUUUUACUUAAUCUUACUAUUUUGUUGGGGCGACAGAAUAACAGUUGAACUUAUUUUAAUUAAUUUGGACUAAUUUUUGGGGAAAACUAAAUUACUCUAGGGAUAACAGCAUAAUUUAUUAAAGUUUGUGACCUCGAUGUUGGACUAGGGUUUUUAAUAAUCAGAAGUUAUUAAAUUAGGCUCUGUUCGAGCUGGGUUCCU
rnacentral:rRNA from 1 species